AUUGAACGCUGGCGGCAUGCCUUACACAUGCAAGUCGAACGGUAACAGGUCUUCGGAUGCUGACGAGUGGCGAACGGGUGAGUAAUACAUCGGAACGUGCCCAGUCGUGGGGGAUAACGACGCGAAAGCUUUGCUAAUACCGCAUACGAUCUACGGAUGAAAGCGGGGGAUCGCCAGGCCGCGCGCGAUCGGAGCGGCCGAUGGCAGAUUAGGUCGUUGGUGGGGUAAAGGCUUAGCAAGCCGACGAUCUGUAGCUGGUCUGAGAGGACGACCAGCCACACUGGGACUGAGACACGGCCCAGACUCCUACGGGAGGCAGCAGUGGGGAAUUUUGGACAAUGGGCGCAAGCCUGAUCCAGCAAUGCCGCGUGCAGUAUGAAGGCCUUCGGGUUGUAAAGCUCUUUCGGCAGGAACGAAACGGUGGAGGCUAAUAUCCUUCAUCAAUGACGGUACCUGAAGAAGAAGCACCGGCUAACUACGUGCCAGCAGCCGCGGUAA
rnacentral:rRNA from 1 species